rnacentral:rRNA from 1 species
AUGAAGGUUUUGAGUUGGAAUUGUAACGGACUGGGGAAUGCCCCGUCGGUUCGUGCUUUGUUGGACGUCCAGCGAGGAUGCAACCCAGAUGUGAUGUUUUUAUCGGAGACACACUUAGACAACUAUCCGGCUGAGUGCUUGAGAAGGCGAUUAAAGAUGGAUCGAAAGUUAGUAUGUGCUGGGGAUGGAAGGAAAGGUGGCUUGUUGUUAUUGUCGAAGAAAGAAAUUAAGGUUCAUAGGUUGGAGCUUUGUAACGCCCUCGAUGCGGCUAUAGCUCCCACGUGUCGAGGCACGACUUAG